rnacentral:miRNA from 1 species
GUGGAAUGAUGAUAAGUCUGACG